AUGGCCCUCCACCUCCUCACUCCCACCCACCUCCACCACCCCUCCUCCCCCCUCCCGCGCCGCCGCGCCGCCACCUCGGCCUCGGCCACGCUCGCGCACCACCUCCUCCCCCACCCCCGCCUCCGCCUCGCCACCGCCGCGUCCUCCCCGCGCACCGGGCCCCGCCGCGGCAUGUCGGCCAUCCGCAGCUCGCUCAUCGACCCGGACGGCGGCGCGCUGGUGGACCUGGUGGCGCCCCCCGAGCGCCGCGAGGCGCUGCGGGCCGAGGCGGAGGCGCUCCCGCGGGUGCGGCUCGCGGCCGUCGACGUGGAGUGGGCGCACGUGCUCGCCGAGGGCUGGGCGUCGCCGCUGCGCGGGUUCAUGCGGGAGCACGAGUACCUCCAGUGCCUCCACUUCAACUCCCUCCGCCUCCCCUCCGGCGGCCUCGCCAACAUGUCGCUCCCCAUCGUGCUCGCCGUCGACGACGCCGCCAAGGACCGCGUCGGCGCCGCCCCCGACGUCGCGCUCGCCGGGCCCGACGGCGAGCUCCUCGCCGUCCUCCGCAGUGUCGAAAUAUACCCUCACAAUAAAGAAGAAAGGAUUGCAAGAACAUGGGGGACAACUGCGCCUGGCUUACCUUAUGUCGAUGAGGCGAUAACACCAGCUGGAAACUGGCUGAUUGGUGGUGAUCUGGAGGUGUUGCAACCCAUUAAGUAUAACGAUGGCCUUGACCAUUACAGGCUUUCACCCCAGCAACUUAGGGACGAAUUCGACAAGCGUGGGGCUGAUGCUGUAUUUGCAUUCCAGUUGAGAAACCCAGUCCACAAUGGGCAUGCACUGUUGAUGAAUGACACUAGAAGGCGUCUCUUGGAAAUGGGUUUCAAGAAUCCCAUUCUACUGCUACACCCCUUGGGUGGUUUUACAAAAGCUGAUGAUGUCCCGCUGCCUGUUAGAAUGGAACAACACAGCAAGGUCUUAGAAGAUGGAGUCCUUGACCCCGAGACCACUAUCGUGUCUAUAUUUCCCUCCCCAAUGCAUUAUGCUGGUCCAGCAGAAGUGCAGUGGCAUGCAAAGGCACGAAUUAACGCCGGUGCUAAUUUCUACAUAGUGGGUCGUGAUCCAGCUGGGAUGGGCCAUCCGACAGAGAAGAGAGAUCUGUACAACCCAGACCAUGGGAAGAAGGUCCUAAGCAUGGCCCCCGGUCUGGAGAAACUCAACAUAUUGCCCUUCAAGGUAGCAGCAUAUGAUACGGUGGCCAAGAAGAUGGCUUUCUUUGAACCUUCACGCAGUCAAGAUUUUCUGUUCAUCUCAGGAACCAAGAUGCGCACUUUCGCCAAAACUGGAGAGAACCCUCCUGAUGGUUUCAUGUGCCCUGGUGGGUGGAAGGUUCUUGUUGACUACUACAAUAGCUUGCAAACUGAAGGAGCUACCGCCCCCGCCGCUGCUACUGUAUGA
rnacentral:rRNA from 1 species